UAAUAUAUUUGAGAUAGAUGCGCAACUCUCAUUUUUAUUUUUGCUUUAGUUAGAGCCCGGCAGCUGUAUCACGUAUUUCGCAGACAAUUAGCAGAAGACAAAUAUUGUGCAAAUAUUGCUGUCAACUGUCCAUUUCGUAUUACGGACUUACAACAAAAAAGCAGAUCGCGGACCAUCCCUAGUGCUGCCUCUGCAGAGCGAUUUGUGAAACUUUAGUGCAUUCUUUUCCAUACAACUAACAACAACUGGCCUAAAGUCGGUAUUACGGAUGCUUUUGUCUGCCACACAACAGCAGAUAUCUAGCAAUUUCGUUUGUCAAAUUUGCGACACCUUUUGUAUCUGGUGCUGAAUUGUUGCUAACUAUCUGCAAGUGUAAAAUUUGUGAAAUUAAAUUAUUUUAACUUGAUUUAGGUAUGUACUAUGGACAGAGCUCAAAUAAUAAAUGGGGCUUUGGAGUCUAAGGAACUUAGGUCGGAUACAUACGAAUCAGUGCGUUUGCGACGCUGUCUUCGUGAUCAAGCCUGACCCCUUAAUCUAUCGGAAAGUUUGUUCAGAACACAUUACAGAAUUUCGAAACAUCAAUAUUUACAAUUGUGCUCUGAAUUAAAGCCGUUAAUAACCUAGAUCAUCAAGACGAACAAGAAUAGAAAGUAAAAUGCAAGGUGUUAACAGCAUUGCAAAAUUUCAUACCAGAAACCUGUGGGAAUGAGCUUUUUGCAUUUUGAGUUAAACUGUAGUAAAUCCAAUGCCAUUAGGGAAGUGGCUAUGGCAUUAAACAAUCUUCCAGUUUUAUUGAAACAUUUAAAGUUUCUGCAAACAGUACAAUGGGUCACAAGUUAUUAAAAAUGGGUUUUACAAUAAAUUUGGCUUUCCUGGGGUUUUGGGGUGUAUAGAUGGCACUCAUUUGCACUUAUCAGAUCUUCUGUAUAUGAAGAAAGGUUUUAGAACCGCAAGCAUUAUCAUUUCAAGAAUGUGCAAAUAAUCUGUGAUAGUGAUCUUAACAUUUUAAGUAUUGAUGCAACAUUUCAUGAUACAUUUGUCUGGCUUAUCACAACUGAAUAUGCCUAUGCAGGACCUGCACCAUAAUAGUGAAAAAGUUUGGUUUUUAGGCAAGUAAAACAUCAUGAGCUCUGUCUCAGUAACCUGACUACAAAAAUACUCAAUCUAAAAGUAUAUUUAAAACUGGGAAGGCCGUUAAUAUAUAGUACUACAGUAAUGUUUAUUGUCAUACCAGGAACACUGUUGACCAUUGUGAGUAUUGAAAGCCAGUUGGAGAUGCUUGUUGGUACAUAGAGUACUGCAUUAUGAUCAUUAUAUGAUGGCCAAGACCAUAAUUGUUAGCUUGUAUUGCAUAACAUGGCAAACACACAUGGGUUUCCAGUGCCCCAACUCUCUGACGAAGAUGCUGAAAUUGAUGUUUCUUAUCAAAUUCAUAACAUUGUAUUUUUUGGGAGAGAAGAGGAAACACAGCACUUAGCACCAUGUCAACAUUUAAGGGUGGUUCAAUUGGAUUGUGGAGAACAGACAUUAAAUUUAGUCCAACCUCUAUAUUCUAGUAAUUUUAUGUAGAUAUUUUUAAAACUGCUGUUCUUAAUUAUGUGAACUGAGAGGGCAAGAAUAGCCUAAUUAUUUCUGCUUAUAAUUUUUUAAUUGUGCUUAGUGGAAAUAUACAUAUUUCCUUAACAUUUUUUUGUUUAUAGUAAAGGAUGGAUUCAUAACUAUUUGAAAGCAAAAUUGUGAGGUUGUUUUAUAUCUGUCGUGCUCAAUUUGUUCUGUAUCAUUUUAUCUUUAUGUUAACCCCGUUUGUAUGUUGUGUUGUUAUAUAUAUUAUUGUAUAUACUGCUGUUUUAAAUAAUAGAAUAGAAUGAAUAACAAAUCGACUAGUAAUUCAUAAUUCUUCUAGAUUUUGUUGGAUACUUACAUGAAUAUUACUUACAAAAUGAAAAACAUAAUUCAUAAUUUAGACAAAAUGUGGAUCAACCACCACUGAUUUAUGUUCAUUGUGAUAAUAAUAAUAAUAUAAAUAUAAAUAUUUAACUGGUCCUGUGAUAAGUUCGUAAAGAACUUGUGUUACAGGUACCAGAUAACGGAAAUAAAUGUAAGAUUUUUAUUAUACACAUACAUAUAUUUAAUAUACAUCCAUAACCCUGGAAAAGACAUUUAUAUUUAUCAUACAAAUAUCUUCCCUGGGCGGGAUUCGAACCCGCGACCCCCUUGUGUAGCGACCAUGUCACUUACCACUACACCAGACGGCCGUUAGAUACGUUUGGUAAUUAUUAUUUUUGUGUAAUUUUGUUUUAUUUGAAUAAUAAUUCUUAAAUGAGGAAA